AACGUUACAAAGACUUAGAAAAUUUCUGCCACUGGUGAUAAAUCGUAUAAUUUGGUUUAUUAUUGGCUCUUGUUUAGCUGUCCUCUUUGUUGUGGUCACCGAAAUGCCUUAUUACAAGAAAAAAAUUGAGGAACAUUGAAGAUAAACUGGAAGCAAAUCAAGUGAGAAUCAGUACAAACCCAGAUAGAGUUAGAAAUGAAGAAGACAAACUUGAAGAUGAUGCGCAUGGAAAUUUCAACGAUGGUGCGCACGGGGCUGACGAUUCGGAAGUAACAUAUUCUCAACCAAUCAAAAACAAGCCAUCAUCUAAUGCCGAUGUAACGUAUUCAGAAGUAAAUAAAACUGGAAAGUCGAAUUCUUCAGCCAGUUGUUCUAAAAAGACUCGGCAGGAUGGACAGCUGCUGUAUGCCGACCUUGACUUUGAUCCUAAUGAUGCACCUUUGAAGGGAGCCGCCGCCAAGCGUCGAAACUCUCCUACGGAGUACGUUGCUAUCGACUUUGUCAAGACAGCAGCUGAAAAGGCAGAAGAAAGCAAACCAACAGAAGCGGACAAUAUUUAUGCUAAUCAGUAAAAUGAACGUCAGUCAUAUAUAAUUUAAUCAAAGACAACCUAUGAAAAUUGUGUGCACGCGAUAAUAUAUGUGCAGAAGAUUGCUUAAACUUGUAUGUAUAAGAAGCAGUUGUCGUCGUAACUCAUAUACGUGAUAGGAAUUGUGGUUGAUAUUUUUAUGUUUGAGUAUUUGGUUGAGACUUUGCUUAUACUUACGCUAUUUUCACAAGUUGUACGAAGUUUAGAAAUGUUUGAAUAUUAUUUCGUCGAUUUCGAAGACUUCUAAAUUUAUUAUUAGCCACACUCAAAAACCACGCGUUCAAUUCCAAGCGUAGCAUAAAGUUUUCUGUAGAAAUUUGUUAGAAGACAUACAGUCUAUUUUUUUUCCUCCAUUUAUGAAUAAUGUGGGAAAUUGUCAGUUAUUUGCAGAUAAGAAGUAAAACAUAAUCUAGAAACACUGGUCAAGGUUAGUAUGAACCUCGGGCGAACAGACAGAUGCGAGUGUUAAUUUGUGUGACAUAUCUUUCAAUUGGACCACACAUACUCCGAACAGCAAAGAAUCGUAUCUGCUAAUAGGUUUUCGAGUUAUUUUUAAAAACCACGUUCAGUCUAAAUGCUAAUUUGACCUUGACCUUUGACCUCUCGAUAUCUACUGACCACAGACAAUACUGUUACGAAGUUUGAUGGAUAUUGGCAGUUUUCAGUAAUAAAUGGAACAAUUUAGUGUAAAGUUUAGUGACUCCCACCUAAAACAAAGCCUAAUCAUCUUGUAAAGUUAAAACAAAGCAUUCUCCAGUUAGUGAUGUUUUAAGUCGCGACAUCAUAGUAACUUUGACCUUUGUCCUACUGAUCCCAAAACAAUCGGGGCCGUGAACUGAAAGCCGGGCAAACAUACAAUGAUAUGCUAUUGUUAGUUCCAUCGUUCUCCAGUCUUUUUAAUUAGAAACCAUUUCAAUGUCUAUGCCAUUGUGGUCUUGUUUUUUUUUUUACCUACUACCACAGCCACGCUUUGAAGUGUGACCACUGUAUGUGAGGAAGUCCUCUCCUGAUUUGAAACUACCUAAAUGGCAUAUUGACAGACGAACGGACAAUAUGACGUACUCGAACGAUCAGUAUCCCCAACGUUUCUGAUCAGAAAGGCAAUAUUAAUGGAUGGACUAACGCUUUCAAACUGCAUGGUAUAUACUUUUAUUUUAUAUCAAGCAAUUAACUGAGAUGGUUUUUUGGACAAAAUAAUAAUAUUUUCUUUCCUGUAGCGGGAAAACAAAAUACUAUAAAAUAUCUUAGGUAGCAAGUUUUUGUAUGAAAGCUUGUUUUUUAGAUUCUCUACAAUAUUUUGACCGUAAUAUUUAUUUAAUUUAUGUACAUAAAGUAUCUAUAAAUACAAUUUAAAGUAAUUUUACUGUCAUUUCGCCAAAUGCAGUAUUCAUUUUGAGCAGUGUUAAAGUUUCUACAACCAACACUAGAGGGGCUAAAGUGUCCACUUAAAAAUGCUUUUGUAACUUCCUCAGAUUGUUGGAUAUAUCUUCAAACUUCAUAAAGUACUCACUAUCAGUGUAAAUGAGAAACCGGGAAGUGGAAAUCAUGAAAUCGUGAUUUCAGGAAGUGAAAAUCGUGAAAUAUUGAAUUAACAUAUUUGAUGCGAUUUGAAUCUUUUCAAUAAUUGUAAUGAAACUAUUACUUGAUAUAAGAUUUUCACUGGAGUUUAAGACUUUACAUGUAUAUCUAAUAUAUGCAGCACGUGUUAUGAAAAAGGAUCAUGAGCAUUGACAACAGAAAAGUCAAAAUUACCUAAAACAUUUUUCCAGGUGCGGUUUAUGAUAUUUGUUAAUGGAAAGUACAUAUAAUUCUCCAUAGAUAAUAACCUCCGGCCUCGUCUGUAUCUUUACAGAAGAAAAAUUCUGAGGCUAAUGUAUUCAAAUUUUAGUAUAAUUAUGCCCCUUCUC